UCGGGGUUUGGCUUCGCAGGAUCAGCCCGCUCCCGGUAAAACGGGACGGCCCGCCAGAGGACCCCUAAACUCUGUUUCUAUAUGUAACUUCUGAGUAAAACCAUAAAUAAAUCAAAACUUUCAACAACGGAUCUCUUGGUUCUGGGCAUCGAUGAAGAACGCAGCAAAAUGCGAUAAGUAAUGUGAAUUGCAGAAUUCAGUGAAUCAUCGAAUCUUUGAACGCACAUUGCGCCCGCCAGUAUUCUGGCGGGCAUGCCUGUUCGAGCGUCAUUUCAACCCUCAAGCACAGCUUGGUGUUGGGACUCGCGUUAAUUCGCGUUCCUCAAAUUGAUUGGCGGUCACGUCGAGCUUCCAUAGCGUAGUAGUAAAACCCUCGUUACUGUAAAAAUACGUCGCA
rnacentral:misc_RNA from 1 species